rnacentral:rRNA from 1 species
UCKCCAGAGUACUACGAGCACCAGCUUAAAACUCAAAGGACUUGGCGGUGCUCCAGACCCCCCUAGAGGAGCCUGUUCUAGAACCGAUAAUCCCCGUUCAACCUCACCACCCCUUGUUUUAACCGCCUAUAUACCGCCGUCGUCAGCUUACCCUGCAAAGGCUAAACAGUAAGCAAAACGGGCACAGCCCAGAACGUCAGGCCGAGGUGUAGCGUACGAGGUGGGAAGAAAUGGGCUACAUUUUCUACAUUAGAAUAUUUUACAAACGGCACCCUGAAACCACGUGCCCGAAGGUGGAUUUAGUAGUAAAAAGCAAAUAGAGAGUCCUUUU